AGCGACUCACGGCCUUCUAACGGCUACACUCGACCUUCAGACGACGACUCACUGCAAUAUGAUGAUGACCCACUGCAGUCCCACGCCGCCCAUGCAAACUUGACCCACGGUGACUCCAACCCACAUCUUCACCUUCCUUGCUGAUCCAAAAUUAUCAUAUUAUAAGUAUGGAUAAAUCAUGAAAGAGAAGAAAGGGAUUGCUAUUAAUAUACCACCCAUAUCUCUUACAUCAAAGAAGAAGAUCGUAGAAGAGGAGGAAGUGAUUGCAACUAGGCCAUCAAUAUCAAAGAAUGAGGUAAAAGCUUCAAAGUCAAUGACAAAGGAGGUGAAAGUUACAAAUGAACCAUCCAAUCUACAAAUACAAUUGAAGUAUAUUCUUAGAUAUGCUGAAAGGGUAAUGGUUGAUGGGUCUAAUUUUUCAUUUCAACUAUCUCCUAAGUUAUUUGACAUACCUUAAAAGAGUUGCAUUUUGCGAGAAGAUGUUAUUGAUUUUUGUAACAUGCAAAAAGUUAAGAUUUUAUCAAUAGUGGCUUAUAUUAUGUAAGUAAAUAUUACUUCUUCAUUAUAUAUAUAUUCACACUUUUUAAUUAGUAGUAA